rnacentral:rRNA from 1 species
GACGAACGCUGGCGGUGUGCUUAACACAUGCAAGUCGAACGGUAAGGCCCUUUCGGUGGUACACGAGCGGCGAACGGGUGAGUAACACGUGCGUAAGCAGCCCUCAUCUCUGGGAUAACAAUCGGAAACGGAUGCUAAUACUGAAUAUGAGCUUGCUAGUGAUCUUGUGGGUUGGAAAGAUAUUUUUGGGUUGGGGAUGGACUCGCGGCGGAUCAGCUCGUUGGUGGGGUGGUGGCGCACCAAGGCUUCGACGGGUAUCGGGCCUGAGAGCGCGAGCGGCCACAUUGGGCCUGUGAGACGGGCCAAAGUCGGACGGGAGGCGGAAAGGGGGAAUAUUGGACAAUGGAAGGAGGUGUGAGGCAGCAACGCCGCGUGCGGGAUGACGGCCUUUGGGUGGUAAAAAGCUUUCUAUUGUGACGAAGCUUUUUUGUGACGGUAGCAGUAGAAGAAGCACCGGCUAACUACGUG